GAAGCCCUCACUGAACUGUGUAAAUAAGAUAACCUAAGGUAUUACAUACCCUGGAAAAUCACAAGUAAGGGAGCAGUGAAUCAUAUGAUUGAUCUUGAUUCUUCCUGGAGUGUCCUACAGCAAUAGGAUUUUCUUGUUAAAACAUAUUUGAUCAUCAAGUGAUACAGGAGCCAAGUGGAAAUGUACCUCAGACUACUGAUUUGAUGUUUACAUGUCCAAGUUCACAGAAAAUUGCAUGAUCUAGGAGCUGGAAGAAAAUGUUUCACUGCUUUCCAGCUGAAAUUCCCAGAUGCUUUUUGGCUAUGAAAAGCUCUCUGGCUGAUGUUUACUUCC